rnacentral:rRNA from 1 species
AUACGGAGGGUGCAAGCGUUAAUCGGAAUUACUGGGCGUAAAGCGCGCGUAGGCGGCUAAGUAAGUCGGAUGUGAAAGCCCUGGGCUUAACCUGGGAAUUGCAUUCGAUACUGCUUGGCUAGAGUAUGGUAGAGGGUAGUGGAAUUCCUGGUGUAGCGGUGAAAUGCGUAGAUAUCAGGAGGAACAUCAGUGGCGAAGGCGGCUACCUGGACCAAUACUGACGCUGAGGUGCGAAAGCGUGGGGAGCAAACAGGAUUAGAAACCCGGGUAGUCC